AUUGAACGCUGGCGGCAGGCCUAACCCAUGCAAGUCGAGCGGAGCGGCGGACGGGUGAGUAAUGCCUAGGAAGCUGCCUGGUAGUGGGGGAUAACGUCCGGAAACGGGCGCUAAUACCGCAUACUAUCAGAUGAGCCUAGGUCGGAUUAGCUAGUUGGUGGGGUAAAGGCCUACCAAGGAGACGAUCCGUAACUGGUCUGAGAGGAUGUUCAGUCACCCUGGAACUGAGACACGGUCCCGACUCCUACGGGAGGCCGCAGUGGGGAAUAUUGGACAAUGGUCGAAAGCCUUAUCCAGCCAUGCCGCGUGUGUGAAGAAGUUCUUCGGAUUGUAAAGCCCUUUAAGUUGGGAGGCGUUACCAACAUAAUAAGCACCGGCUAACUUCGUGCCAGCAGCCGCGGUAAUUC
rnacentral:rRNA from 1 species